rnacentral:rRNA from 1 species
GACGAACGCUGGCGGCGUGCUUAACACAUGCAAGUCGAACGGAAAGGCCCUGCUUUUGUGGGGUGCUCGAGUGGCGAACGGGUGAGUAACACGUGAGUAACCUGCCCUUGACUUUGGGAUAACUUCAGGAAACUGGGGCUAAUACCGGAUAGGAGCUCCUGCUGCAUGGUGGGGGUUGGAAAGUUUCGGCGGUUGGGGAUGGACUCGCGGCUUAUCAGCUUGUUGGUGGGGUAGUGGCUUACCAAUGCUUUGACGGAUAGCCGGCCUGAGAGGGUGACCGGCGACAUUGGGCCUGAGAUACGGCCCAGACUCCUACGGGAGGCAGCAGUGGGGAAUAUGGCACAAUGGGCGGAAGCCUGAGGCAGCAACGCCGCGGGCGGGAUGACGGCCUUCGCGUUGUAAACCGCUUUCGCCUGUGACGCAGCGUGGGUGACGGUAAUGGGUAAAGAAGCACCGGCUAACUACGUG